rnacentral:rRNA from 1 species
AACAAACAAUCAAUCAAUCAAAAAGUUACAACAAA